rnacentral:rRNA from 1 species
UGCAGUCGAACGCUUCUUUUUCCACCGGAGCUUGCUCCACCGGAAAAAGAGGAGUGGCGAACGGGUGAGUAACACGUGGGUAACCUGCCCAUCAGAAGGGGAUAACACUUGGAAACAGGUGCUAAUACCGUAUAACAAUCGAAACCGCAUGGUUUUGAUUUGAAAGGCGCUUUCGGGUGUCGCUGAUGGAUGGACCCGCGGUGCAUUAGCUGGUUGGUGAGGUAACGGCUCACCAAGGCGACGAUGCAUAGCCGACCUGAGAGGGUGAUCGGCCACAUUGGGACUGAGACACGGCCCAAACUCCUACGGGAGGCAGCAGUAGGGAAUCUUCGGCAAUGGACGAAAGUCUGACCGAGCAACGCCGCGUGAGUGAAGAAGGUUUUCGGAUCGUAAAACUCUGUUGUUAGAGAAGAACAAGGAUGAGAGUAACUGUUCAUCCCUUGACGGUAUCUAACCAGAAAGCCACGGCUAACUACGUGCCAGCAGCCGCGGUAAUACGUAGGUGGCAAGCGUUGUCCGGAUUUAUUGGGCGUAAAGCGAGCGCAGGCGGUUUCUUAAGUCUGAUGUGAAAGCCCCCGGCUCAACCGGGGAGGGUCAUUGGAAACUGGGAGACUUGAGUGCAGAAGAGGAGAGUGGAAUUCCAUGUGUAGCGGUGAAAUGCGUAGAUAUAUGGAGGAACACCAGUGGCGAAGGCGGCUCUCUGGUCUGUAACUGACGCUGAGGCUCGAAAGCGUGGGGAGCAAACAGGAUUAGAUACCCUGGUAGUCCACGCCGUAAACGAUGAGUGCUAAGUGUUGGAGGGUUUCCGCCCUUCAGUGCUGCAGCUAACGCAUUAAGCACUCCGCCUGGGGAGUACGACCGCAAGGUUGAAACUCAAAGGAAUUGACGGGGGCCCGCACAAGCGGUGGAGCAUGUGGUUUAAUUCGAAGCAACGCGAA